GACGAACGCUGGCGGCGCGCUUAACACAUGCAAGUCGAGCGAGAACCAGUCCUUCGGGACUGGGGACAGCGGCGAACGGGUGAGUAACACGUGGGUAAUCUGCCCUCGGCACCGGAAUAGCCCGGGGAAACCCGGAUUAAUGCCGGAUGGCCUCUCUGCCCCGCGGGGCGGCGAGAAAAGGUAGCUUCGGCCUCCGGCCGAGGAUGAGCCCGCGGCCGAGUGGCUUGUUGGUGGGGUAACGGCUCGCCAAGGCGACGAUCGGUAGCUGGUCUGAGAGGACGAUCAGCCACACUGGGACUGAGACACGGCACAGACUCCUACGGGAGGCAGCAGUGGGGAAUCUUGCGCAAUGGGCGAAAGCCUGACGCAGCGACGCCGCGUGCGGGAAGAAGGCCUUCGGGUUGUAAACCGCUUUCAGGAGGGACGAAGCCACUCGGGUUAAUAGCCUAGAGGGUGACGGUACCUCCAGAAGAAGCCCCGGCUAACUACGUGCCAGCCGCCGCCGUAACAC
rnacentral:rRNA from 1 species